UACGAAGGGGGCUAGCGUUGCUCGGAAUCACUGGGCGUAAGGGUGCGUAGGCGGGUCUUUAAGUCAGGGGUGAAAUCCUGGAGCUCAACUCCAGAACUGCCUUUGAUACUGAAGAUCUUGAGUCCGGGAGAGGUGAGUGGAACUGCGAGUGUAGAGGUGAAAUUCGUAGAUAUUCGCAAGAACACCAGUGGCGAAGGCGGCUCACUGGCCCGGUACUGACGCUGAGGCACGAAAGCGUGGGGAGCAAACAGG
rnacentral:rRNA from 1 species